GACGAACGCUGGCGGCGUGCUUAACACAUGCAAGUCGAACGCUGAAGCCCUUUCGGGGGUGGAUGAGUGGCGAACGGGUGAGUAACACGUGGGUAAUCUGCCCUGUACUUCGGGAUAAGCCUUGGAAACGGGGUCUAAUACCGGAUAGGACCUGUCCUCGCAUGGGGGUGGGGGGAAAGUUCCGGCGGUAUGGGAUGAGCCCGCGGCCGAUCAGCUUGUUGGUGGGGUAGUGGCCUACCAAGGCGACGACGGGUAGCCGGCCUGGGAGGGUGACCGGUCACACUGGGACUGAGACACGGCCCAGACUCCUACGGGAGGCAGCAGUGGGGAAUCUUGUGCAAUGGGCGAAAGCCUGACGCAGCAACGCCGCGUGGGGGAUGACGGCCUUCGGGUUGUAAACCUCUUUCGACAUCGACGAAGGGGCCCUGUUGUGGGGUUUUGACGGUAGGUGUAGAAGAAGCACCGGCUAACUACGUGCCAGCCGCCGCCGUAA
rnacentral:rRNA from 1 species